AAUAAUGAAUGAACACUUACUUUAACUUAAUAUAAUACAUCAAUAAAAAUCAAUUUAGUUUCAAAUAAAUAAUGAAACAUGUUCAAUUUGGUUUAAAUCAUGCAAAAACAAAGUGUUGGAGAAGAAGUUAAAAGUGCAAUAUGUGCCAUGUAAAAAAACAAAUGUUUAAGUUCCUUGCUCAGAACAUUUGAAAGCUGGUGGUUUUUAGGAAGUUUUAGGUUGUAGUUAUUAUAGGACUAUUUCUCUCUAUACCAUUUGUAUUUCAUAUACCUUUGACUAUUGGAUGUUCUAAUAGGUACUUUAGUAUUGCCAGCCUAAUCUCGGGAGUUGAUAAGCUUGAAGUCAUGAACAGCACAAUGCUUGAAGCACAGCGAAGAGCUGCUGACAAAUGCAGGAAAGUGCUGUUUGAAUGAAUGCUUACGAGCCUGCUGCUGCCUACCACCGCUCAGACUGCUCUAUCAAAUCAUAGACUUAAUUAUAAUAACACAGAGAAAUACGAGCCUUAGGUCAUUAUAACAUGGUCAAAUCCGGAAACUAUAAUUUCGAAAACAAAACGUUUAUUCUUUCAAUGAAAUACGUAACUGGUCCUCACACAGUUCGCAACGAGCCAGGCGGCCCAAACGGACUCAUAUACUCUGACUCUGCUUGCACAGAACGCAAGAUAAGUGACACAAUUUCCCUAGUAAAAAUAAAUUCAUGUUAGUAGGCAAUAUUAACUAAAUAUGCAGAUUUAAAAAUAUAUACUUGUGUAUUUAUUUUAAGAAAGGCAUUGAUGUUUAUGUAACAUUGGUGCAACGACAGUGCUUUUUUCGGGAAUGUGCUUGUUAAAUCACCCAUUUGGCGAAGUAGGCUGUGAUUCAAUGAUAAAUUAACAGGCACCGCAUCGAUUAUAUGCAACGCAGGACAAGCUAGAUAAACUAGUAAUGUCAUCAACCAUGUGUAGUUAACUAGUGUAGCUAGCACCGUACCUUGGCUCCUUGCUGCCCUCGCAUAACAGGUAGUCAGCCUGCCACGCAGUCUCCUCGUGGAGUGCAAUGUAAUCGGCCAUAAUCGGUGCCCAAAAAUGCAGAAUACCGAUUGCUAUGAAAACUUGAAAUCGGCCCUAAUUAAUCGGCUAUUACGAUUAAUCGGUGGACCUCUACUACAUACAUCUAUGGCCAUCUAUCGAUUAGUUUCUCGUGAAACAAUCCUAUGCUAAAGCUUGCUGGCUACAGUAGGUAUGUCUGAAGCAGCACGUAACUCGUUUCUGUUGUUGACAAUGACAUACUAUACUGUCUCACAAAUUUUUUAUCUUCCAUUUGAUCUUAAGUUUCUUUUUAAAAAAUGGUUAGGUAAAAGCGCAGCAUUUAGAUUUCUUUAAUUUUACUAUUAUUUUGCUUUGAACUUGCUGCUCCACUAAUGGCAAUCUAUAGCCUACACUAGCUAGUUAGUCACCAAUUCUGUCCACCAAUAUUUGUGUAUAUACAUUUUUAAUUGGGGUCUGCUUGAUAUAUAACAUUUUUUUAAUUGCAUUUUUUACUCUUUAUUUUUAUGGACACUCAACUACCGUGGUUUACGUUGGCCAUGAUUGAUGAGUUUGGUCACUGAUGGUCCUCAGUUACAUUAAUUUAAUCUUGGACUCCACUAAGACAUUGGAGUCUAAUACUGUCACUCCUCUCUUCCUAUUGUACUCUUGUUUAAUUGUUGCACUAGGUGGAGUUUAGACCCACGGUUAGUUUGCUUAAUUGUACAUAUCCAAAAUGCUAAUUGUCUGUUUGUAUACUUUUCUUGAAUUGUUCCCUCCUAACGACAUUUAACAAUUUACCAAUACAGGGGUUGACCAUUUUCAUAGCCUACUGGUUAAUUUCAAACCUCUCUCAUUACUCAGCCCUGUGGCGACACCUAGUGGAAUACAUUCAUUUUAUGGCCAUUGAAAUGCCACCAAUCGCUGUUAACAUUUUUCAAUAACUGAAGCUGAAGGUUAUACUCGUAGUUUAAAGUGUGACCGGCACUCAAAAUGUACACUUGCAUAUUGAUAUAUUACAUUUUUUAAAUCUCAAGGGCGUAUGUAACGUCUUUCCUAGGUUGGUUUGGCCUCACUGCACAUGUAGGGUAAUCAACGGAUGCUGAGUAAGAGAGAAUUCCUGCUUAGGAUUUGUAUUUUUCCUUUGAAGGGUGUUGUACUAUCAUUUUUAUUUGUAUUUUUCCUUUGAAGGUCGUUGUACUAUCAUUUUUAUUUGUAUCUUUCCUUUGAAGGGUGUUGUACUAUCAUUUUUAUUUGUAUUUAUCCUUUGAAGGUCGUUGUACUAUCAUUUUUAUUUGUAUUUUUCCUUUGAAGGUCGUUGUACUAUCAUUUUUAUUUGUAUUUUUCCUUUGAAGGGUGUUGUACUAUCAUUUUUAUUUUUAUUUUCCUUUGAAGGUCGUUGUACUAUCAUUUUUAUUUUAUUUUUCCUUUGAAGGGUGUUGUACUAUCAUUUUUAUUUGUAUUUUUCCUUUGAAGGGUGUUGUACUAUCAUUUUUAUUUUAUUUUUCCUUUGAAGGUCGUUGUACUAUCAUUUUUAUUUUAUUUUUCCUUUGAAGGUCGUUGUACUAUCAUUUUUAUUUUAUUUUUCCUUUGAAGGUCGUUGUACUAUCAUUUUUAUUUUAUUUUUCCUUUGAAGGGUGUUGUACUAUCAUUUUUAUUUUAUUUUUCCUUUGAAGGGUGUUGUACUAUCAUUUUUAUUUUAUUUUUCCUUUGAAGGUCGUUGUACUAUCAUUUUUAUUUGUAUUUUUCCUUUGAAGGUCGUUGUACUAUCAUUUUUAUUUGUAUUUUUCCUUUGAAGGGUGUUGUACUAUCAUUUUUAUUUUUAUUUUCCUUUGAAGGUCGUUGUACUAUCAUUUUUAUUUUAUUUUUCCUUUGAAGGUCGUUGUACUAUCAUUUUUAUUUUAUUUUUCCUUUGAAGGGUGUUGUACUAUCAUUUUUAUUUUAUUUUUCCUUUGAAGGGUGUUGUACUAUCAUUUUUAUUUGUAUUUUUCCUUUGAAGGGUGUUGUACUAUCAUUUUUAUUUUAUUUUUCCUUUGAAGGGUGUUGUACUAUCAUUUUUAUUUUAUUUUUCCUUUGAAGGGAAUGUUGGGGUUGGUGGUGGUGGUGGGGGGUGGGGGGUUACGUUGGAGUUAUCAAAAGAUUGUGCUCUGCUUUUCUUUACUUUUCUUUUUUAGAAGAAGAUUUUAUUUAUUUUUUAUUUAGAUGUUUUGCUCAUGCUGUUCCUCUCUCAAUCUCUUUCUUUUUCAUUUGGCUUUAGGAUGGUACUUUAGGGCUCCCAUUCAGACUGGUGACAUGGAACAUUCACGGUUGUGGUUGGCAAAGUAAGCGCUCCAUAGUAUUUUCACAUCCGUUAAAUCUCCAAUUCGACAGAUUUUUUUGCAUUCGGAGUAAGUGCUAAAAAUAAGAAUGUGGGGGGAAUGGUCCGAAAUCACUAUCGCAGAAUAUUCUGUGGGUUUAACUGAGGGGAGAAGGGCUCUAUCUAAAAAAAAAGUAGUCUAUGCACGAGUAGGCUUGAUGAACAUGAGAAAUGUAGGAUAAGUAUUUAUUGACCGGGUGGAGUAAGCUCCAUGGAUCAACAAAACCCAUUUGUGUCAUGAAUGUAUCCCGGAAGGAGUAAGGGUUCUGGAAUUAGACAGGUCAAGUCUUGGUUCAAUAACACAGUUAAGGUCCCCGCCGAAGAUGAGGUGGUGGGUGUCAAGAUUAGGGAGAGAGGCUCAAAGAGAUUUCAUUCAUAUGGGCAUGAGUAAAGUUCUGGACAACCCUCUGCAUCUUGAUGAGAUAACAAAGGUCUAAAGUCAAUGCAAAGUGGCAAGGCCCCAGGCCCUGAUGGCUUCCCUGUCGAUUUUUACAAAAAAUUAUCAGAUCCACUCGUCCCAUUACUAUUAAAUAUAUUCCCCCGACUCGUUAUUACAGGGCCCCCCGACGCUAACCCAAGCCUCCAUCUCACUUAUACUUAAGAUAAAGAUUUGGCGGAAUGUGGUGGAUAUCGGCCCAUUUCACUUUUGAUGUUAAAUGUUAACUUUUGAUGCCAUUUCACUUUUGAUGCUGAUGUUAAAUUAUUACCUAAGGUUCUAGCAUGCCAUUUGGAACCCUGCCUUCAGGAUGUCAUAUCUGAUCAUGUAAUGGGUUUCAUCAAAGGGCGACAACUGUUUUCCAAUGUACGACGGCUUUUGAACAUUAUACUCUCUCCUAUCUCUCCAGACCCCAAAAUUGUUGUUUCCCUUGAUGCUUAGAAGGCUUUCGAUCGGGUGGAGUGGGAUUAUUUAUUUAUGAUUUGGGGAAAUGUGGAUUUGGGUCCAAUUUCAUCUCAAUGGAUAUGUCUGCUAUAUUCUGCUCCUACAGCUAGCGUACACACUAACAUUCAAAAUACUUCCCCCUCUCAAGAGGGACCCACCAAGGGUGCCCUAUGUCCCAGCUCCGUUUUGCUCUUGUGAUAGAACAGCUUUCCUUGGCCUUAAAAUGAUCACCAUCAUUCAGUGGAAUCCACAGAGCUGGUGAAGAGCACAAAGUGUCAGUGUAGGCAGAUGAUCUAAUAUUAUACAUCACUAAACCUGUGAACUCUGUCGAUAACAAUGCAUGUUGUAAACACGUUUGGAUCAUUUUCAGGUUACAAAUUGAACAUUGAGAAAAGUUAAUGUUUUCCGAUCAACCCUGCUGCCAAGCAAAUUCCCCUUAGAGCCCUGCAUUUCCGUCUGUCACCCUCUGGUUUUUCCUAUUUGGGUGUGAAUAUAACAAACUCUCUGGCUACCCUCCAUAAAACUAACUUUGCAAGCCUAGUCACAAGAGUUAAAGCAGACUUACAAUGCUGGUAUCGUCUGCCUCUCUCAUUAUCUGGCAGAAUCCAAUCUGUUACAAUUAAUAUUUUACCUAGGUUUCUGUACCUUUUUCAAUGUAUUUUUUUCCUUAAUCAUUUUUUAAAAAGUUGGAUAGGCUCAUCAGUCAUUUUAUCUGGGCAGGCAAAUCACCUAGGAUGUGUAGAGCAAUACUUCAAAGAAGGAGACAAGAUGGAGGAUUGGCACUUCCAAAUGUACUGCUUUACUAUUGGGCAGCCUAUAUUCAGAAAAUUAUGGUCUGGUGUAAUACUCCAGGUACCAACUGGUGCUCAUUAGAGGCGCACUCCUGCCAAUCAUCCACCCUUUCUGUUGUUGCUUGUGCCCCACUGUCCUUGUGUCCUUCAAAGUAUACUGGAAACCCCAUUGUGCGCUCUACUUUGAAGAUCUGGAGACAAUUUGGUCAACAUGUUAGACUUUCUGCCCUUUCUCUUCUAAGCCCUAUCUGUAACAACCACCUAGUUGUACCCUCCAAACUUGACCAGGCUUUUGUUUUGUGGCAUGAGAGAGGUUUGGUUUGUUUCAAAUAUUUAUUUUUAGAUGGGAAGUUUGUCAGUUUUAAUGAAUGUAAGUCUAAUCUGGCUCAUUCGAAUCUUUUUCGCUACUUUUAAGCCUGUAACUUUUUUCCGCUCUCAUUUCCCCAACUCUCCUCUACCUCCCAAGAUGUUGCUAGAGGAGAUUUUGUCCCUCCCAUGAAAUCAGCCAGGUCUGAUUUCUAGAUUAUAUGACAUUAUACUGUCCUCUGAACCCUCUCCAAUAAACAAAAUCAAAACAGACUGGGGUAGUGAACUUGACCUUGAAGAUGACUGGUGGGAGUAGUCAAUUCUUAGGGUUAACUCCACAUCCUUGUGUGGAGGUUAAGCUUAAUUCAGUUCAAAGUCUUGCACAGAAUUCACUAUACCAAAGAAAAAUUUAGUAAAUUCCUCCCAGACACGAAUGACACGUGAUAGAUGUUCAUUCAUUCCGGCAGACCACUCUCAUAUGUUUUAUUCGUGUUCUCAGCUGUCUGAGUAUUGGUCAUCCUUUUUUUAAUACUCUCUCUAACGUUCUAGAUAUUGACCUUGUCCUCUAAUAGCUAUAUUUGGAGUUCCAUCUUUGUUGCAUAGUUUCACUAAAAGUAAAGCGGACGUUGUAGCGUUUGCCUCCCUUAUAGCCCUCCAGCAGAUCUUGUUUAACUGGAAAUCCUACAAACCUCCCACUCCAUCAUAGUGGUUGAAAGAUCUAAUGUAUUUCCUACACUUAGAGAAAAUUAAAUACACUCAGAGCAUGUACUGAUAACCUUUUCUUGAGAUGGCAGCCUUUAAUUUCCUUUUUUGAACAGUUGCCAUAUAUUGAUCAGGAGUAAGAAUUUUGGCCAAGGGGAUACGGGAGGGUGUGGGAAGGAAGUUGUGAUAUUUUUUAUUUGUGUGUAUGUGUACUUGUGUGCAUAUUUAUAUAUUAUUUCCAAUUGUAAAUGUAUUUUAUUUUUGUAUGUAUGCUGUUUUGUUGUUAAAGGGAAGGGAGGUGGUUCAAUAAGUAUAGCGUGUAAAAUGAUGCAUCUGUAAAUGGUGUAUUUCUUUAUAUAAAUAAAAGAUCAGUUCACCUCUUGAUAUCCCUCUUCUGUAUGGGCUUAUUGUAUAUGUGACCAAAAAGAAAGACAACAUGUGAGCUAAGGUCUCACCGGCCUUGGGAGUAAUCUACCACUAAUCCAUUUAUAUUCAUACCACACUGUCCCCUCUGAUGGGUUUUAGCACAGCACACAAAGCUUGGCACAGAUGCGGAUAACCCCUCCCCAUUUUUAUUCCAAUGUCGUCAUAAUAGGUGUUUGUCAUAUUCACAAUCUGUCCAGCACUGUAACUAUGGAGGUCCGGCAGCAAUGCGAAGAGAAUGACAUUUUAGAGGGGCUUUUUUUACAUAGGGAGUGGAGAAGGUAUGGUGAAGGUGAUUGGGGCGAGAUGGCCACCACGCUCCAGUGAUCAAAGAGCAAAGGUGUAAAACAAAAAGGUUAACUGACAGAGCUUUAUGGGCUUGCAAGAAAUGGGAGAGCAAUGUGGCAAUGUCAGGGAAGCCCGGGGUAAAGCAAUAGAGAAUGUUGAGAAACCGAAGCUGAAUGUAAAUAAAUCUACAGAUGGUUUCAUUACACUGUAAAAAAUGAAAGUGUUGAAUCUACUUUAAGGCAACAACAAGACACUUGUUAUUUUUAGAUGCAACUUUGUUUUUUUUAGUAAAUAAAACUUUACACAAAUAAAGUCAAGGGACCUAAUAAUAACCAUAAACAUUGGUUUUGAUUUACUAAUAAUAUGAUUAAAUAGAAGUGAUGUCACAAAUAUUUAGUAAACCCAACAUUGGUGUUUCAAAAGUUCUUAAUGUUUAACAUUGUUUAAUGCAUUUUAUAAUUUGCCAUUUUAACCCACUUUGGCAGGCUUUCUUGAGCACAGUGCUCAAUCUACCAGCAGUAGCCUACCUGGAGGUAGAACUAGAAGCAUUGCAUGAUGCUGAAUUUGCCUCUGUCAUUAAGAAUGGUGAUGGUGGGAGUGGGUGGUUGGAUCAUUGAACGCAAAUUUGCCUGACAGUUUUGAUAUCCGUUCAUCAUGAUCCAUUACACCUUAUGGCGCAACAAGCCUUUUAAUACUAAAAUAAAAAUAUACUUUCACUUUUUCAAAUGUACAAAAUGUAUAAAUAAAAUCUACAUUUUUACAAAAUAAAAAAGAUAAUAAAAUCAUUAAAUUCUCUCUUUCGUUACCCUCAUUUAUAUUUUCUUUUUUGGGGUACAAUGAAAUUAACAAAUAAUUGAAACGACUUGAACUCAUUAUUAUACAUUUUUAUUAUGUAAGUAUACAGUAGUAUUUUUUUUCCAAUUCACCUCAGAUUUGUUUUUACUGUGUAUCUUAGAGUGGAGACGCCAAAGCUAGGUCCGAGCCAACAUGUUACGCGUUCACAAGGAUUAACCGGGAUGUUUGGAACAACAGCUGGAGCAAGGCUGUGAGUGUCUCUCUGUCUCUGUCAAAUCUAAUGUUAUUUGUCUCAUGCGCCGAAUACAACAGGUUACCGUGAACAACCUUACAGUGAAAUGAUUACUUACAAUGUUAUGAUGUACUGGGUUGUCAGCACCACCCUCUGUAGAGAUUUGCGGUCGAGGGUUGUACAGUUGCCAUACCAGGCGGUGAUGCAGCCGGUCAAGAAGCUCUCAAUGAUGCAGCUGUAGAAUUUCUUGAGGUUUUGAUGGCCCAUGCCAAAUCUCUUCAGUAUCUUGAAGGAGAAGAGGCACUGUUUUGCGCCCUUCACGACUUCGCUGGUGUGUGUGGACCAUGUGAACCCUACAGUGAUGUAGACAGAGGAACUUGAAGUGACUGGCCCGCUCCACUACAGCCCUGUCAAAGUGGAUGGGAGCAUGCUGUGGAUGGUGUCCUGUCUCUGAACUCCUUCCUGUAGGCUGUCUCAUCGCUGUCGGUUAUCAAGCCUACCACCGUCAUGUCUUCAGCAAACUUAAUGAUUGUGAUGGAGUCACGCGUGACCACGCAGUCGUGGGUGAACAAGGCUUACAGGAGGUGGACAAGCACAAACCUCUGCGAGGCCCCCGUGUUGCGGGUCAGCGAGGCGAA